CGGGGCGUAGCGCAGCCAGGUAGCGCACUUGCAUGGGGUGCAAGGGGUCGUGAGUUCGAAUCCCACCGCCCCGACCA
rnacentral:tRNA from 1 species